rnacentral:rRNA from 1 species
UACGUAGGGGGCAAGCGUUGUCCGGAAUUAUUGGGCGUAAAGCGCGCGCAGGCGGUCCUUUAAGUCUGAUGUGAAAGCCCACGGCUCAACCGUGGAGGGUCAUUGGAAACUGGGGGACUUGAGUGCAGAAGAGGAAAGUGGAAUUCCAAGUGUAGCGGUGAAAUGCGUAGAGAUUUGGAGGAACACCAGUGGCGAAGGCGACUUUCUGGUCUGUAACUGACGCUGAGGCGCGAAAGCGUGGGGAGCAAACGGG